rnacentral:misc_RNA from 1 species
GUUGCAGAUUUUGGGUUAACAAAAUUAACGGUUGGAGGUUCAUCGCUUCCUACACGUAUUGUGGGUACAUUUGCAUACAUGCCACCAGAGUAAGAAACUUAUCUAAUUGACAUGGAAAUAAAAUCUCAGCAUUAAGAGUCAUGAAGAAUUCAAUUUUAACCUGACUUUGCUGGUCUAGAUGUUUUUAGCAAGUUUCGCCAACCUGUAAUGGUCCAAACAAGGAUCCUGGAGAUCUGUGUUUGUGCAGUUAGUGAACAAUGUCGCUUUGUGAUCCUAUUCCUGCCUAUUUAUUCGUGAGGAAUUGUUUGAGGUGGCUAAUAGCUAGGAUUCAAAAUUGGUUCUGAAUAGUCUGUGGAUGAGUGCCACUGAAAUUGUUCACAUGAAGUUUAUCUUCAGAAUUUCAGGACGGAACCACUUAUCAUGGCUAAUGGCAUAAGCUUUCAUUUCUCCAAUUCUGGGUUUUAGCCCAUGCAUCAAUGAGUGGAGAAGGCUACCUUUCAGAUUGGUAGCUCAAUGACUAAAAGAAAAGGGAGGAAUUUCAGGCAGGAAACGUAAGCAUAAUCUAUUGCAAGUUAAAAAGUAUGCUUAGUAUAUUUAAUGGAGUCACUAUAGUAUAGUCAACCAGAGAAAGUCUUAUAACAUGUUUAGUCUUAUGUGAAUAAAUUGAUUUUAUAGAUCUGAUCUAAUGGGGAAAACAAAAGCGCCACUCAUUUAUUUUAUUAACAUGGAUUAAAAUUUUCUGUUUGUCUGCAGAUAUGUAAUUUAUGGAGAUGUUUCUCCAAAAUUGGAUGUCUAUGCCUUUGGAGUUGUCCUUUAU